GAGAAAAAAUAUAUAAUCUCUUCAAUUAUAUUUUAUUCUCUUAAAGAAAAUAAAAAAUGAAGAUAAUUCAUUCCCGUGAACACAUCCAAAGUGGUAGGAACUCAUUAAAUUCAAUUUAUUUUUUACUCUAAUUCUCUUCCCUUUUAAACAUUCUUUCAAAGAGAAGAGAGACAUUUGGCUUUGCCUCAUUCUACCGCCGUUGCACCACGCUUUCAGAUCUAAUUGCGUCGUCACUGGUUAUCUAUUCCUUGCCCUACUUCCUCGCUCAUUCUAUGCUCUUCACCGUGAGCCGUCGCUGAUACACUGCCCCUCGCUGUUUCUCGCCGUCGCUGCUGGGUGGUCUCGCCUUUUCUCACUGCCGUGUCUGCAAUUGGAGCGCCUAUACCUCUCUCCAACAUGGUUUGCAUCAGAGCUUGGUGUUGAAACUGUCCAUGUCCUCAUUGGCCCAGUUUCAUACUCGUUGCUCUCCAAGCCUGCCAAGGGUGUUGAGAAGACCUUCUUUCUCUUCUCACUUCUCCCUGAGGUCCUCGCUGGCUACAAGUAAGAGGGCAUGGAUGUGUGUGCGAAAAUUUCUUGGUGUGAUGUAUUAUUACACAUUGAGUUUGAACAUCGAAUUAUAAAGGCCAACGCAUUAUGAGAACCAACAAGUAUCUGCCAAUUUCUUCAUAUGAGGUGUUAAUGCUGGCCAGCUUUUGGAUGUGGCAUUAAUCAUCCCGUGGUGAAUGUGGCAUGGAACAAUUGAACAACUUGUCAUAUUUGUCGGGACAUUGAUCAAUGUUAGUUAGAAGGCCCUGAAUUUGACAUUUUUGAAGAUGACGUGCUUGAUCAUGUGAACACUGAUCCCGAUGAGAUUCAUAUGAUAAGGAUGCUUCGCAUGGUAGCAAUGAAACUGAAGAUUGAUUUGUAGCAAGCCAAUGAUUGAGAUAGAACCAUAAGGUAAAAGACUUAACUGCCAAGGAUAUUCCCUCUUGCGAAGAAUACAAGGCCUGUGUGUGAACCUGGAGACAAAUGAUAUCUAUGGUGCGGGAAGCAUUCAUUCGCCAUUACUCAACAUAAGCAUCACCGCAGUAUAUACGAAGAGGCGGAUGCAAACAAAAGGCGAAAGUGAUAUGCACGACCCCUCAUUGAUCUCCACAUGAAAAAUAUGAGGGAAUGAAGGACUGCUAGGGAUAAGAGAGGAAACUGAGCCCUUUUUUAGAGUUUGAUUUCAGCAACGAUUUUUGUUCUCACUCUCACUUCUGAUAUUCCAAAUCAAUCCUCCUCAGAUGUGCCAGGGGGAGCAAUCAUAAUCCGAGAACACACUGCGAUGAACGACUUGUUUUGUGGUUCAAUGAGGUUCAUCUCUUCACACCAAGAGAUCAACUUAGUUUUGGAUAUGUUACUUACAGAUUAGGGUCUUCAUGUUUCCAAACUGUUAAUAUAAUUCACUGUUUUGUGUUGCACCCUCACACAGGAGAGCACUCUUCUCCCAUUGAAUGGGUUAAACGGUUGGAUGAACUCAAGAGUAGCAACUUAAGAGAAACUAGAGGAGGAUUAGGUUUAUUCACCCCUUAUCAAGGGAAUCUUAAAUCUGUUGCUCUGCCAAAUGUAACAAGAACAUCUAAAGCAGGCUGAAUUUUUGUUUAACAUUAUCCAUCUCUUAUGUAAUUUUCCCCUCAAGAUUUAUUGUUAAUUUACUUAAUGAAGGUGAGGAAAAGAUAUAUUUUCAUUAUC